AGUUUGAUCAUGGCUCAGGAUGAACGCUGGCGGCGUGCUUAACACAUGCAAGUCGAACGGAAAGGCCCAAGCUUGCUUGGGUACUCGAGUGGCGAACGGGUGAGUAACACGUGGGUGAUCUGCCCUGCACUUCGGGAUAAGCCUGGGAAACUGGGUCUAAUACCGGAUAGGACGAUGGUUUGGAUGCCAUUGUGGAAAGUUUUUUCGGUGUGGGAUGAGCUCGCGGCCUACCAGCUUGUUGGUGGGGUAAUGGCCUACCAAGGCGUCGACGGGUAGCCGGCCUGAGAGGGUGUACGGCCACAUUGGGACUGAGAUACGGCCCAGACUCCUACGGGAGGCAGCAGUGGGGAAUAUUGCACAAUGGGCGCAAGCCUGAUGCAGCGACGCCGCGUGGGGGAUGACGGCCUUCGGGUUGUAAACUCCUUUCGCUAGGGACGAAGCGUUUUGUGACGGUACCUGGAGAAGAAGCACCGGCUAACUACGUGCCAGCAGCCGCGGUAAUACGUAGGGUGCGAGCGUUGUCCGGAAUUACUGGGCGUAAAGAGCUCGUAGGUGGUUUGUCGCGUCGUUUGUGUAAGCCCGCAGCUUAACUGCGGGACUGCAGGCGAUACGGGCAUAACUUGAGUGCUGUAGGGGAGACUGGAAUUCCUGGUGUAGCGGUGGAAUGCGCAGAUACCAGGAGGAACACCGAUGGCGAANGCAGGUCUCUGGGCAGUAACUGACGCUGAGGAGCGAAAGCAUGGGGAGCGAACAGGAUUAGAUACCCUGGUAGUCCAUGCCGUAAACGGUGGGCGCUAGGUGUGAGUCCCUUCCACGGGGUUCGUGCCGUAGCUAACGCAUUAAGCGCCCCGCCUGGGGAGUA
rnacentral:rRNA from 1 species